rnacentral:rRNA from 1 species
CCCUCUUUCGGCAGCCUUAUUCAUGCAGUUCGAACGAACCAUUCCCUGAUGAUUGAAGCUUGCUUUCAUGAUUUCAGAAUUUUGGUGAGUGGCGGACGGGUGAGUAACACGUGGGUAACCUGCCCAGAAGUGGGGGAUAACAUUUGGAAACAAGUGCUAAUACCGCAUAACAACUUAGAUCACAUGAUCUUUGUUUAAAAGAUGGUUUUGCUAUCUCUUCUGGAUGGACCCGCGGCGUAUUAGCUAGUUGGUGAGGUAAUAGCUCACCAAGGCGAUGAUACGUAGCCGACCUGAGAGGGUAAUCGGCCACAUUGGGACUGAGACACGGCCCAAACUCCUACGGGAGGCAGCAGUAGGGAAUCUUCCACAAUGGACGAAAGUCUGAUGGAGCAAUGCCGCGUGAGUGAAGAAGGUUUUCGGAUCGUAAAACUCUGUUGUUGAAGAAGAACAUACGUGAGAGUAACUGUUCACGUACUGACGGUAUUCAACCAGAAAGCCACGGCUAACUACGUGCCAGCAGCCGCGGUAAUACGUAGGUGGCAAGCGUUGUCCGGAUUUAUUGGGCGUAAAGAGAAUGUAGGCGGUUUAUUAAGUUUGAAGUGAAAGCCCUCGGCUCAACCGAGGAAGUGCUUCGAAAACUGGUAAACUUGAGUGCAGAAGAGGAAAGUGGAACUCCAUGUGUAGCGGUGGAAUGCGUAGAUAUAUGGAAGAACACCAGUGGCGAAGGCGGCUUUCUGGUCUGUAACUGACGCUGAGAUUCGAAAGCAUGGGUAGCAAACAGGAUUAGAUACCCUGGUAGUCCAUGCCGUAAACGAUGAGUGCUAAGUGUUGGAGGGUUUCCGCCCUUCAAUGCUGCAGCUAACGCAUUAAGCACUCCGCCUGGAGAGUACGAUCGCAAGAUUGAUACUCAAAGGAAUUGACGGAGGCCCGCACAAACGGUGGAGCAUGUGGUUUUAUUCGCAGCAUCUCGAGGAGCAUACCUGGUCUUGACAUAUCUGGAGAGCGUUAGAGACAAGUUAUUCACAUGGGUGACCUGUGUACAAACGGCGCCAAGGGAGACGCAAGCUCUGCUCAAGAGAUGUUGUCUUAAAACACGGAUUUAAUCCACCCAAAAAUCUUAUUCCCAUUAUUAGGUUGGCACACUAGAUUAGUCCGCCUGUGAAGAACACCUCCCUGGGCCCGCCCACGGAAAGGUGUGCGGCGCCGCUUCACUCCGGACGGCGGUGAAGAAUCCGGUUACGGAGGCGGAUAAGUGGACCGGGGAAGGGAGGUAAUACACUCCCAAAGGAUAAAAUAUCCCUGGGGAGCCCCAUAAAGAUAAGAGAGGGGAGCCUUUCCUUAACAAAAAGGGAAGUGGACCUAUGUUUAACCAAGGCCAUCCCUUGGCGGGAACAAAAUUCCCCCCGGGCGUGGGAGAACCCGCCAUUGAAAACGCACCUUCCACAACCACCGAAUGUGGGAACCAGAACUGGAACCGCGAAAGGUCUUAAUAUUGAGCGCUUAGGGCUUCGGAGGAGAGGCAUAUAUA